CACGUAGGGCGCAAGCGUUGUCCGGAAUUAUUGGGCGUAAAGAGCUCGUAGGCGGUCUGUUGCGUCCGCUGUGAAAACUCGGGGCUUAACCCCGAGCCUGCAGUGGAUACGGGCAGACUAGAGGUAGGUAGGGGAGAAUGGAAUUCCCGGUGUAGCGGUGAAAUGCGCAGAUAUCGGGAGGAACACCGGUGGCGAAGGCGGGUAGCUGGCCCAACACUGACACUCAGACCCGAAAGCGUGGGGAUCGAAACAGG
rnacentral:rRNA from 1 species